AAAUUUCUCAAGCAAACUCUGCAUCACUUUCGUUUAUAUAAGUAGUCUAUGCAGAAACUAAUUCUACUACAAAAACAAACUUCUAAUUUCUGCUAGCUCACAAAUAUUGGUCACACCCUUUAACUUCUGCCCUACAUUUCAGGUAUGUAUGCUUUCUUCUUUAUGUUCCUUUUGGGUGUGGAUCCUCUGCUGUUGGGGAAAUACAACAAUUAAUUCGCUUUGCUCCGUUCAUCAAUAGUAUACAAUUUUUGCUGGACACGGGUUUAAUUGUUAGAUGUGUAGUUGUAAUUGAAUUGAGCGUGAUGUCAUAUAAAAAAUGAGUGAUUGUAGUUAAAAAAGAAAAAAGAAGAAGAAACUGAGAUCAUGUUUAAAAAAUGAAAAUAGUAUACUCUUUGUGGACGCCAAAUCAAAUAAAUGUUGUAUACUCUCGAUGGACGGAGGUAGUACGACAUAUACUUCUCGAUGAACUAUACUACAUGCAUUAUCUACUAUAUGUGUCUUAAAUUUUUAUGUGUUUAACUAUAUAUAUAUAUAUAUAUAUAUUGCGAAAUGGAGUAAGAUAUUUUGUUUGUAUCAACCAACGAGACAUUAAUUGAUAAAUUAAUUUUAGUGAUAAGAAAAGUACCAAGUGGGGUUGCGGAAAUUUUGAAGUGUCUGUCUUUAGCAAUUUUGGAUUUGUAUCAAUUUAAUGUUUGAUUUGAAGGGUAGCAUCUUGGGAGGCGCUAUAAAUCGAGUUCGGUUAGCCAAAUUAUUUCAAAACAAUGGGCCUCGUUCAAUUAUUUGAAAAUGAUUUUUUACCGAUCAUGAAUUCGUUCAAUAAAGUGAUUAAUUAAUCGUAAAUUUUCAUGUUUAUUCACAAUUUUUAAAUUAAAAUGAGAUUUUAUUUUAACCGACCCCUUUGUGUAUAUAUACAUCACAUCAUUGCAGUCCUUGAACAUUAAAUAAAUUAAAUUAAUAUUAUAGGUAUAUUAAUUU
rnacentral:lncRNA from 1 species